GAUGAAGAACGCAGCGAAAUGCGAUAAGUAAUGCGAAUUGCAGAAUUCCAGUGAGUCAUCGAAUCUUUGAACGCACAUUGCGCCCUUUGGUAUUCCGAAGGGCAUGCCUGUUCGAGCGUCAUUAUCACCCCUCAAGCCCUCGGCUUGGUGUUGGACGGUUUGGUGGAGGCCCCCUCGGGGGCUCCUGCCCCUCCCAAAGACAAUGACGGCGGCCUCGUUGGACCCCCGGUACACUGAGUUCUUCACGGGAUACGUAUCGGACACAUGGGUUUACGGGACACGGUCUGCCUCCCCUCAGGGAGAAUCUUUCUAAGGUUGACCUCGGAUCAGGUAGGGAUACCCGCUGAACUUAAGCAUAUCAAUAAGCGGAGGA
rnacentral:misc_RNA from 1 species